UUCCUCUCUCUCUCUCUCUCUCUGUUCCUCCCUUCAGGUCUAUCGAAGGAGCUCAAAUCCAAAGUCCGAGCAAUGCAAAUUCGCUCAGCACGAAUGAUCUGAGAAUGAACACGCACAAAGUGUUAAAGAGACGAGCCCAUCACAUGAGUUGUAGUAGUAGUCAUCGUAAUCGACAGUGGUGGAGGAGUCAGAGUCAUCAGGACGCAGAGCAAGGUCCAGAGGCAAAAAGCGAGGCGGCCCAAUUCCAGACCGGUCCUAUUCCGGUCGAACUCCUCCCAGAUCAUCAAACCGCUGCUUUAAGUUUGCGUCUGAAGCAGUCCUGCAUCUCCGUUAUUUCCAUGAUGCUGAAUUUGGUAUGCUGUUUCUUUUUGUUUCCUCUCUUCACAGGUUUAUAGAGCUUUCAGGCUUAGAUGGAUGCUAUUACGGGCGUGUCAUGAUUAGACAAUCAUGUAUAUGUAGUAUAGGUACAAACUUCUUUUUAUAUCAAUUUGGGUUCAGUCAUGAUGAAUUAUUGUUGUUUAAUCUUUGGCUCGUGUUCCGUUUGUCAAUUCAGAUAUGUUCAUGAUUUUCUUAAAUUUGGGGCUAAAUAAUAAACCUUCAAUGGCUUCUAGAUUCAGGUUCGCCCUCAACAAUUCACAAUGCCAAUAAUCUCAAUUCGGAAGUAAAUUGGUUAAAUGGUGAUAAUAUGAUUGUUUUUAGUUUUAUAAUAUUGAAAGUGUCAUUGGAUUCUAUGCAUCAACGUUACUGUAUGACUUCUUGUCAAAUGAUAAAUUUGUGGAUUUUGUGUAUUUGAUUGAGGGUUUUUGUGUUUCAAGGCCAAAAACUCAGAAAUAUUGUAUUUGACUGCAUUCUCUGGCUCUGUAGGCAUUGUAUGACAGGUCACUACUGCCAUCAAAAGCUUCAGAUAUGCAUAUAUGUCUAUUACAUUGCCAUCUGCCUCAAAGAAUUCACAAGCAUGUUGAUUGUGCUAGUAAUUUUGAGUUCUUGAAUCAAUACAAGUUUUGAGACAGUCACAAUCUUAUUGUUCAUGUACUAAAAAGUUUAUCAGCAUGGUUGUGCUACAAUUACGUUCGCUUUCUACUCUGUAUGAUCAAUAUGACAUUGUGAUUGGAAUGUAGAUUAAUGCAUCUGGUCUAUAAGUUGUGUCUGUUUAAUUGAUUUAUCA